GUGUAGCUUAGUGGUAGAGCGUUUGCCUAGCAUGCAUGAGGUCCUGGAUUCAAUCCCUAGCAC
rnacentral:tRNA from 1 species